GAUGAACGCUGGCGGCGUGCCUAAUACAUGCAAGUCGAGCGAAUGGAUUAAGAGCUUGCUCUUAUGAAGUUAGCGGCGGACGGGUGAGUAACACGUGGGUAACCUGCCCAUAAGACUGGGAUAACUCCGGGAAACCGGGGCUAAUACCGGAUAACAUUUUGAACCGCAUGGUUCGAAAUUGAAAGGCGGCUUCGGCUGUCACUUAUGGAUGGACCCGCGUCGCAUUAGCUAGUUGGUGAGGUAACGGCUCACAAAGGCAACGAUGCGUAGCCGACCUGGGAGGGUGAUCGGCCACACUGGGACUGAAACACGGCCCAGACUCCUACGGGAGGCAGCAGUAGGGAAUCUUCCGCAAUGGACGAAAGUCUGACGGAGCAACGCCGCGUGAGUGAUGAAGGCUUUCGGGUCGUAAAACUCUGUUGUUAGGGAAGAACAAGUGCUAGUUGAAUAAGCUGGCUCCUUGACGGUACCUAACCAGAAAGCCACGGCUAACUACGUGCCAGCCGCCGCAGUAA
rnacentral:rRNA from 1 species